rnacentral:rRNA from 1 species
CCUACGGGAGGCAGCAGUGGGGAAUAUUGGACAAUGGGCGAAAGCCUGAUCCAGCAAUGCCGCGUGAGUGAUGAAGGCCUUAGGGUUGUAAAGCUCUUUUACCAGGGAUGAUAAUGACAGUACCUGGAGAAUAAGCUCCGGCUAACUCCGUGCCAGCAGCCGCGGUAAUACGGAGGGAGCUAGCGUUAGUUCGGAAUUACUGGGCGUAAAGCGUACGUAGGCGGUUAUUCAAGUCAGAGGUGAAAGCCUGGAGCUCAACUCCAGAACUGCCUUUGAAACUAGGUAGCUAGAAUCACGGAGAGGUUAGUGGAAUUCCGAGUGUAGAGGUGAAAUUCGUAGAUAUUCGGAAGAACACCAGUGGCGAAGGCGACUAACUGGACGUGUAUUGACGCUGAGGUACGAAAGCGUGGGGAGCAAACAGGAUUAGAUACCCUGGUAGUCCACGCCGUAAACGAUGAUAACUAGCUGUUCGGUCUCUACGAGACUGAGUGGCGCAGCUAACGCAUUAAGUUAUCCGCCUGGGGAGUCGGUCGCGAAGNUUAAAACUCAAAGUAAUAGUGCGNGUGAGNGCGACGACGACGACGACGGAGGAGGAG